rnacentral:snoRNA from 1 species
GCGCGUGGCUCAUAAGCUGUCAUAAGCUGACAGCCUGCAUGUCUGAUGGGUUCCAUUCUUGUGCUUGAGAACUCUGGUGACACACUACUGACUGAUAGCUUUCAGUUUCAGGUCUUGGAGGCAUCU